CCUCACCUUCACGGCCGUGGCUUCCUUCAGGUGAUGGGACAGGAAGUCCAGGCUGGCGUAGCUGUUGGGGGAGGACAGGGCGGCAGGGCCUGGGCCCCCACAAGCCCCACUGCUGCCGCUGCCCCCUACCGCGCUGAGGAGGCCCCCCAGGCUCCGGGUCCGGCCCCACGAGGUCUUGUCCCCUGGCUGCGGGGGCGGCAUCUGCGGGGACAGCCCUGCCUCCUCCUUCACGUUGAUGGCGAUGUAGCUGAGGCCUUUCGGAAAAGCCACGGGGCUUCUCUGCGCAUGGGGGAGCCGCCGCCCCGCCGGGCAGCCACCCAGGCCCCCGGGCUGACCGGAGGCCCUGGGCCGCGCCAACGUCGAGUGUCCUGGGGCGGUGAGCGGCUCCUCAGCCCCACCGCCACCACUCUCACUGCUCUUCCGGAGAGAAACGUUCUCCACAGAGGCCGAGCUGUGGCGCUUGGGGUUGUGAGCGAAGGAUGGGGACACGGGGGUGACCGUGGCAGUGGAGGAGAAAGUCUCCGAGCUGUGGCGGCGGCGGCCCCCCUGCGGGUCUGCGCGGAUGACCUUGGCGCCCCGGUGCGGGUCGGGGGCUGGCCAGCCUGCAGGAAGGCCUCCAGCCCCGACCCCUGACCCCCUGAGGCUCAGCCGCUUCAGGCCCGCCGUGGGGCUGCUCACUCGGGCACCUUCCGGCCUGGGGCGCCGCCAGGCCGAAGGCCAUCUCGGCGUAGUCGCUGCUGUCAGCAGUCUGGGAGGACACCGGGCACCAGCGCUGGGGCCCUGGGAGGCAGGGGCCGCACUGGGUGCGGGAGGCAGGCGGCACAGCUCCCGGGGACCGCGGUGGGGGCUGCUGCUGCAGGGAGGACAGGGAGGCCGCAGGACGAGGGGCAGCGGCGGGUAUGGGGAAGCGGCCUCGGGGGGACAGGACCCCCGGCUUGGGGGACUUGGGGGAGCUGAAGCCCAGGUUCAUGUAGUCGGACAGCGGGGAGCGCUGUCUGCUGUCACUGCUGGUGCCCGGCGUGCCUGAGCCCAGGGAGAGGGAGGAGGCCGGGCUGCUGGCAGACAGCAGCGGGGAGGGUGAGGCCGCAGACGCCAGCAGCGAAGGGGCCGGCGGGGACAGCCGGGGGCCCGCCUCCCCGAAGUCAAUGUUGAUGUACUCGCCAGGGCUCCUGGGCUCUGGGGGCAGGGGGUACUCAUGCAUGCUGGGCAGCGUCCUGCAAGCCCCUCUAGGGACAGGCGUGGGGCGCACUGCCCGGCAGGCGCUGGCCAAAGAAGCCCUCAGGGCGCCCACCAGCGUUGCUGCCUGGCCUCAUGGGGGGCAGGCACUGCUGCUGCUAGGUGAUGCGGCUGGAUGUGGCUGUCCCUGCCCGUCCAUGGGGGAGCCCUGGGGUGGCCGGGGACUCCAGUCCCUCCUCCUCCAGGAUCCGCCCACCGGGAGCUCAUGAGCACGUACUGGUCACUGUCUGCCCCGCCACACAGGUAAGGACCCUUGUAGGAGCGGGGCAAGGAGCUGUAGCAGCAGCCGGGGACACUUCUGAGCCCCUCCCCAGCGCCCUGCAGAGCUGCGGAGAAGAAGUCGGGCGGGGUGCCGGCCGGGCCCGCCUCGCUGGGGGACAUGUUGAGGUAGUCCCCGCUGGCCAGCAGCUUGGGGUUCGGCGCUCUCCACAGACAGCUUGGACCCACACCACAUGCGCAUGUACCCGCUGUCCUCUGGAGAGCUCUCCGCAGGUGAGCCGGCCUUGUAGCCUCCCACAGGCCCGGGGAAGGUCUUGCCCGCUGGGGAGGGGGCAGCUGGCACCGGUGGCGCCGAGGGGGGCAGGGCCGCGGCCGGUGCAGCCCUCGGAUGCAGGAUCUGCUUCGGGGCAGACACGCUGGUGGGGCUCAUGGGCAUGUAGUCGUCGCUGGCACUGCCCAGCAGAGCUGCACCAGGGGUCAUCGGCAUGUAGCCAUCGUCCGCCCCCAGGUUGCUGCUGGAGCUCCGGUGUGAGCCGAUCUCGAUGUCCCCAUAGUCCUCCGGAUAGGGGUGGUAGGCCACUUUGGGCGAAGACGCAGGAAAGGGCGGGCACAGGCGGCCGGAGCUGCCCGAGAAGGUGGCCCGCAUGAGCGUGUACUCAUCCAGCGAGGCGGACGACGGCUGGGGCACGGGCGCUGGCGCGCGGCGUGGUCAGCGAGUAGGUCCGCUUUCGCAGGCCCCGUCCAGGUCCCGCGCUGUCCCCAGAGACCCUGCGGUAGGGGCGUCCCAAGGGGCCCGAGGGCCUGUCCAUGCUCAUGUACCCGUACAGCUCGCCCACCGCGCCAUCCCGCGCCGGGGGCGUCUCCGCGAUGGACUCGGGCGUGUUGCUGCGGUGGCUGCUGCAGAAGGCUCGCAGGUCGCCCGGGCUAGACCCGUACUCGUCCAGGGACAUGAAGCCCGGGUCGCUCGGAGAGCCCGAGGCCCGAGGCGCUGCCGCUGGAGGGUCGCUGUCCCAGCGGGUGGGGCAGGGGGGUGCGGCAGCGGCGGGGCCGGGCCGGGCGGCAGCGGGUAGGAGGCCGAGCCGUGGCCGCUGCUGGACGACAGACUGCCCGGGCUGGUGGCAGCAGGGGGAGAGUGCGCCACAGGCAUGGACAUGGAGCGGCUGUGCUGCAGCGCGCCCCCUGCCGGAGCCAGGCCCGCCUUGCCGCCCCGGGCCCCGCAGCCGGCGCUCAGCGUGGUGCGAGCGGCUCAGGGGGCGCGCGCGCCGGUCCGGGGGCUCAGGGGGCUCCCGGCCACCGAGCCUGGACGCGCGCCCGCCGCAGACACCGCCGCCCCGGCCCCGGCCCCGGCCGCGGCGCCGCCGUCGCCCUCGCUGGCCGUACGCACGCGACACGGGGCGCCCUUGGCGGCGGGCGGGGUUGCGGCCAGGCUGUCGGUGCGCGAGCGGCGCACCAGGCCGGUCUGGCUCGGGGGCAGGUGCACCAGGUGGUGGCGGCGGCGCGCGCCGGGCACACUGAUGGGGUGAGUGGCCGACGAGCCCGAGGACUGGCUCUUGCUGCGCGGGCGGAACUCGAAGAGCUCCUUGAGCGCCUUCAUGGCCUCCAGGAUGGUCUCGUGGAUGUUCUGCGCCACCACCGAGUCGUCGGCCUGCAUCCACAGCUCGCCGGGGCCCGUGACGGCCGAGCGCCCCACCUCUAUGAAGAAGAAGCUGUCCGAGUGGCCGCAGCGGCGGAUGUUCAUGAGCUGCAGCGUCACGGACGGCUGCUCGCAGUUGAGCUUCACGAAGCCGAUGGUGCGCGCCGACAGGCACAGGCGGUACACGCCCGUCAGGUUCUUGCUCUGGCCCAGGCCCUUGGGCUUCAGGUUCACCUGCCACACCUCGCGGUAGGCGGAGGCCGAGGACGCCCCCGGCCCGUCCGCGUCCUCGGCCGAGCCGCCCAGCGCCCCCGGCAGGGGGGCGCUGCAGGGUGUGGCGGCGGGGGCCGUGGCCACAGGGGGCGCGUCGCCGGCGGCGGCCGCGCGGCCCUCGCUGAGCAGGUCGGCGAGCGCGCGGUACCAGCCCUCCUGCUCCUGCUCGUUCUCGGCCGCCACAGCGAAGUACUCGUCCUUGGUGUAGAGGGCGAUCAGGUACUUGUGCUUGGCGUCGGCGCGCUUGUUGACAUUCAGGCAGCAGUCGAGCGCGAUCACCCGCUUCGGCGCGCCCGCCUUGCUCCGCCACUUCUUCUCGCCUCGUAGUACUCGAGCCGCGGGGCUGCGGCGCCGCCGGCCCCCGCCCGCGCCCCCGUCGUCCCCGCCCGCGCCGGGCCCGCGCAGCACGAAGAAGCGCUUGUGGCCGUGCUUCUGCUUGCGCAGGUAGCCGCACUUGCGCACGCCGUGGUUGUUGUUGUUGUUGUUGUUGUUGUUAUUCAGGUUGGGGCCGUCACCGCCCGCUGGCCCAGGGGCUCCCUGCCGCGGCGGGCUCGCCAUCGCGGGCGCUCCUGCCGCCUCAGCCGCCCGGGGACCUGGAACGGUGCGGCGGGGC
ensembl:lncRNA